rnacentral:rRNA from 1 species
UACAGAGGUCUCAAGCGUUGUUCGGAUUCAUUGGGCGUAAAGGGUGCGUAGGUGGCGCCAUAAGUCAGGUGUGAAAUCUCGGGCUUAACUCCGAAACUGCAUUUGAUACUGUGGUGCUUGAGGACUGGAGAGGAGACUGGAAUUCACGGUGUAGCAGUGAAAUGCGUAGAUAUCGUAAGGAAGACCAGUGGCGAAGGCGGGUCUCUGGACAGUUCCUGACACUGAGACACGAAGGCCAGGGGAGCAAACGGG